CCUACGGGGGGCAGCAGUAGGGAAUCUUUCACAAUGGGCGCAAGCCUGAUGGAGCAACGCCGCGUGCAGGAUGACGGCCUUCGGGUUGUAAACUGCUUUUAUAAGCGAGAAAUAUGAUGGUAACUUAUGAAUAAGGAUCGGCUAACUACGUGCCAGCAGCCGCGGUCAUACGUAGGAUCCGAGCAUUAUCCGGAGUGACUGGGUGUAAAGAGUUGCGUAGGUGGCAUAAUAAGUAGCUGGUGAAAUCUGGUGGCUCAACCAUUCAGACUAUUAGCUAAACUGUUAAGCUCGAGACCGUUAGGGGUAACUGGAAUUUGUAGUGUAGGAGUGAAAUCCGUAGAUAUUAGAAGGAACACCAAUAGCGUAGGCAGGUUGCUGGGACGGUUCUGACACUAAGGCACGAAAGCGUAGGGAGCAAACGGGAUUAGAUACCCUAGUAGUC
rnacentral:rRNA from 1 species